GACGAGGGAUCCUAGCGUUGUUCGGAAUCAUUGGGCGUAAAGCGGGUGUAGGUGGCUUUGUAAGUCAGGUGUGAAAUCCCAGGGCUUAACCCUGGAAGUGCAUUUGAUACUGCGAAGCUUGAGCGCUGGAGAGGUUACUGGAAUACCUGGUGUAGUGGUGAAAUACGUAGAUAUCAGGUGGAACACCGGAGGCGAAGGCGGGUAACUGGCCAGACACUGACACUGAGACCCGAAAGUGCGGGGAUCAAACAGG
rnacentral:rRNA from 1 species